AGAGCAUGAUAGGAGUUGAAGUUUCUCUCUCUCUCUCUGUUUCUCAGCCAAUAAAAGGCCUGGUGGUGUCCAUGCUCUGGCUGAGAAUGGACCCAAACGUGACAGAUAAAACUGAACAUGAGGUUCUCUUUUGCUCUCUUGGUCUGUGACAACCAAUGAUGUGCAGCUUUGCUGGAAAAACCUGGUAGAUGUUGAGGUCCACUUGUACAGUUUUCUUUUACCAGAUGUUACUUCUCAAGAAGGGAAGUGGAAAUGUGGCCUGCUAUAUAUAAUAUCUACUUUUGUUCUAAAAUGCAUCAGAAAAUAUGUGCUGCAUAAUAUAUGUGGCAGUGAGUGAGUGCCUUUUUAUCCUGGAUAUGUGCAUUCAGAAGCCAUUAAUACACUGUAAAAUAAAUAUUUUCUGGACAUGAUAACAGAUUUUUUGACAAAUGUAUUUCUGCAUUACGAAAUAUACAUUGUGAAGCAGUCUUGAAAGGAUAUGUGGAUAAGAGCUGGAACCUUUACAUUGUCUGGAAAAUCCCCUCUAACAGGAGCCACAAGGACCAUAUGUAGGACCACAUGAAGAGAUGAGCUGUAAAUGGGAAUUGCAUAGCAGCAAUUGCAGCCAGAAUUGAGGGGCGGGGCAGGCAUA
rnacentral:lncRNA from 1 species